rnacentral:tRNA from 1 species
GUUCAUAGCUUGAUAUGGAGGUUAGCAUAUCCGCCUAUGAUGCCGAACGCCUGGGUUCAAAUCCCAGCGUGAACA